AUGCAGCUGACGAGUUCAGAAUAGGACGAAACAGGCGUCCUAGAU
rfam:Schistosoma mansoni strain Puerto Rico chromosome 3, complete genome